UCUGACACUUUUAAACACUCUCUCUCAGUUCAAACACUCUCUCACUCAGUCUCUUAGUUCAAACACUCAAGUCUCUCAAAUACUCUUUCUCAGUCUCUCAAACACUCUCACUCAAACACCCAAAUCAGUCAUCCUCAACCCCUCGGCGUGCAACAAAAAUCACCCUCACCCUCAAAUGCUCUCUUUUUCCUCACAAUCGGCUUCAGACUUGAAAAUCCCAUACCUUGAAAAUACCUUUUCCUCACAAUCAGCUUCACCCUCACCCCUACCAACGGAAGUUCAGAUUUUUUCAAGUUUGAAGUAGCACACUUUGCAGUAUGCAGCCAUGGAUCAAUGAGGAGACAGAGAUCGUGCACCCUGGUCCGCUUGAUGAGUCAUUGUUGACGUGACAAUGAUAUCAUCGACCAGAGGACAUUUGGAAUAGCGAGGACUUGGGCCCACUUACAUGCCGUGGUCGCACUUAGGAGAUGGCAAACAUUCGAAUGCGAGAUAAUCGGGUGAUUGACAUUAUCAAGUUGCUAAGGUUGGAAGGAUUGUUUAGGGCCCCUUCCAGAGAGAUAGAUCAUUGCCUAAUAUUGACCCUAGUUGAGCGAUGGCGGCCGGAGACUCAUACGUUCCAUCUUCCACAUGGUGAGAUGUCAAUCACCCUACAAGAUGUGGAGGUCAUUUUCGAACUUCCUAUAGACGGUGAGGUCCUGGUUGGGCCGACUGUUGUGGUGGAUGGGGAUUGGAGUCAAUUGUGCAUGGAGUUGCUUGGUUUUACUCCGACGAAUGACAACAAAACUUUGGUGGGGCAAAGAAUUCUCAUCAGCCGCCUUGUUGAUGCCAUUGCAGAGCCAUCGCCUUGUUAAUCCGGUGCUUCAGGAUUUCAUUUGGCAUACGAUAAGUAAUUUGUAUGUUGUGCAAAACAGGAUUCUCACACAACUCUUCCAUAACUAUCAUCUUCAAUUCGUUAAGGGUGUUCAACCUACGAUCAAUUUGGGUAUAAUAGCUCUUUAUACUCGGCCCUUCAAAUGGCAAUCCCUUGUUCACAUUGGCAUU